rnacentral:rRNA from 1 species
UACGUAGGGUGCGAGCGUUAAUCGGAAUUACUGGGCGUAAAGCGUGCGCAGGCGGUUCGCCAAGUCAGGUGUGAAAUCCCCGGGCUUAACCUGGGAAUUGCGCUUGAAACUAGCGGGCUUGAGUGUGGCAGAGGGGGGUGGAAUUCCACGUGUAGCGGUGAAAUGCGUAGAGAUGUGGAGGAACACCGAUGGCGAAGGCAGCCUCCUGGGCCAAUACUGACGCUCAUGCACGAAAGCGUGGGGAGCAAACAGG